CUUAGGAGUUUACUUUUCUCUCUAUUGUAAAAAAAAAAAUGUGGUCCCACAAAAAAAAUAUGUGUAAAAAUUUCCCCCCCCAGCCCGGAUAAAAACGUUUCCAACGAGCUUUUUCGAUAUUUUUGGGGGAUAAGGCGGGUCUGGGGGUUUUUAAGUUUGAAUGGAAAAAUCCAGGGCUUAAUUUUGUAUUGCGUUUGAAACUGUAAAACUAGAGUAUGGGAGAGGUUAGUGGAACUACAAGUGUAGAGGUGAAAUGCGUUGAUAUUUGGAGGAAUGCCGAUGGGGAAGCCAGCUUUCUGGCCAGAUACUGACGCUGAGGUGCGAAAGCGUGGGGAGCAAACAGG
rnacentral:rRNA from 1 species